GUUGGAACAUAAAAAAGUAUAGAUUACAAAAUCAUGGGAAAGAACUAUUGAGAUGAAUACACAUCACAGUUUGAACACAAUGCACCUCAAACUUAGUAACACAAGUUUACUGCACACACUUCGAAUCACUACCUUCAAAUGUUCUUUUAUUUCACCGGCAGGGUGGAUUGUCCAAGCAAGUUUCUGAUCUGGCAAUUCCACCGCGUGACAAUUCUCCAGGGACAGCGAUCCAUGCAUCACCGGAUGAUGUGUGCUUACCUUAUGGCUUUGGUGUCACCUCCGUUUGUAGAAUCCACAGGCAGCAAGCUCGGAUCAUGUGGAGCAUGACCACGGCUACAGUUGAAAGUGCAGCAGUUGUUGCACAACUGGAGGUCAUGAAGCUCGCAUAGAGGGCACUUCUCUGGGCAGCAAGACGUGCCCUUCUCUGGGCAGCAGCCGCAACACGACGUGCAAGGCCGGAGACAGUUACCCAUCCGUAGACCGUAGUGGUGUGUUUCCGUGGCUCACAGGUCACUAGCUUCGUGAGGUCGCGCUU
rnacentral:lncRNA from 1 species